rnacentral:tRNA from 2 species
UUUAUUAUAGUUGAAAACAACGGUGGUUUUUCAAACCACAAGUCUCGGUUUAAAUCCGAGUAAUAAUU